ACCUACGUUGAAACAACAGUUCCCGUACGAUCAACGAAAUUAAGCAAUGUCGAGCGUGGUCAAUACCUAGAUGGGUAACCGUUUAGGAAUACCAGGUGCUGUAA